rnacentral:rRNA from 1 species
CAGUCGCCGCGGUAAUACGUAGGGCGCAAGCGUUGUCCGGAAUUAUUGGGCGUAAAGAGCUCGUAGGCGGUCUGUCGCGUCUGGUGUGAAAUCCCGAGGCUCAACCUCGGGCUUGCAUCGGGUACGGGCAGACUAGAGUGCGGUAGGGGAGACUGGAAUUCCUGGUGUAGCGGUGGAAUGCGCAGAUAUCAGGAGGAACACCGAUGGCGAAGGCAGGUCUCUGGGCCGCAACUGACGCUGAGGAGCGAAAGCGUGGGGAGCAAACAGGAUUAGAUACCCGAGUAGUCCCUGUCUCUUAUAC